UCCUGAAAACUGUCAAAGUAAUUGCGAUGAGCCACCAGAGCCAGAGCUAGAAUGCGGAGAUCAAGCUGGUGGUAAAGAAUGUCCUAAUGGAGAGUGUUGUAGUAUAUUUGGUUCGUGUGGAACCACAGAAGACCAUUGUUGGAAACCUUUUUGUCAAAGUCAGUGCAAUGAGCCACCAUUGCCACCAGAGCCAGAGAGAUGCGGAAGGGAAGGUGGUGGUAAAGAAUGUCCUACGGGAGAGUGUUGUAGUGUAUUUGGUUCCUGUGGAACCACAGAAGAACAUUGUGAGGAACCUUUUUGUCAGAGUCAGUGCAAAACUAGUCUAAACAAGAAUCGCAUGCUGAGAGGCACUCGAAGCUUCUUCCUCAAUGCUCUCUAAGUGCAUGCUAGCUAGCUCCUAUAUAUUGAAGAUGUACUUUUACUCCUCUUUUGGG
rnacentral:lncRNA from 1 species